rnacentral:lncRNA from 1 species
AAGGGCAUGCACAUCGGUUUGGUCGCCCCCCCAUACUUUUUUUUAAUUUUUUUUUUUCUUUUCCAAAUUUUUUGAAUUAAAAAAAAAAAAAAUGUAACCAAUCGCGGGCCGCCACGUGUCAGUGGGGCCCGCGAUUUCUGAAGAAAAGAAAACGGGACCGUCCCGUUUUUGUUGUCGACCCACCCUUUUUUUUUUUCUUUUUGAUUUAAUUUUUUUUUAAAAAACAGAAGGACGAAGGGGGAUACGCUAAUGCCCUUGGUCUAAGGUUAUGUUUUUAACUAAAUUAAGAUUCUAGCUUAAUUAUAAAGAUAUAUUU